GACGAACGCUGGCGGCGUGCCUAACACAUGCAAGUCGAACGGAGAUGCCGAGGUAGCUUGCUACAUUGGUAUCUUAGUGGCGACGGGUGAGUAACACGUGGGCAACCUGCCCCAAAGAGGGGGAUAACACCGAGAAAUCGGUGCUAAUACCGCAUAAUAUUAGAGCUUCGCAUGGAGCUUUAAUCAAAGGAGCAAUCCGCUUUGGGAUGGGCCCGCGUCUGAUUAGCUAGUUGGUGAGGUAAUGGCUCACCAAGGCGACGAUCAGUAGCCGAUCUGAGAGGAUGACCGGCCACACUGGAACUGAGACACGGUCCAGACUCCUACGGGAGGCAGCAGUGGGGAAUAUUGCACAAUGGGGGAAACCCUGAUGCAGCAACGCCGCGUGGAGGAAGAAGGUCUUCGGAUUGUAAACUCCUGUCUUCUGGGACGAAGUAUGACGGUACCAGAGGAGGAAGCCACGGCUAACUACGUG
rnacentral:rRNA from 1 species